rnacentral:rRNA from 1 species
UACGUAGGGUGCAAGCGUUAAUCGGAAUUACUGGGCGUAAAGCGUGCGCAGGCGGCUUUGCAAGACAGAUGUGAAAUCCCCGGGCUUAACCUGGGAACUGCAUUUGUGACUGCAUGGCUGGAGUGCGGCAGAGGGGGAUGGAAUUCCGCGUGUAGCAGUGAAAUGCGUAGAUAUGCGGAGGAACACCGAUGGCGAAGGCAAUCCCCUGGGCCUGCACUGACGCUCAUGCACGAAAGCGAGGGGAGCAAACAGG